UCCAGUUUGACUGCUAGGAGAGUAAACCUAUUCGUAUGGUUCCUAUUCAACUGUCUACAGCAUUCAUAUGCUUGGGAGAAUUUAUUUGUUUCUCCGGUUCGGUGAUUGUGGUGUCUGCCAGAGUGCUUGGAGUCCUCAGGAAGCGCUAGGAGCAUCCUUCAACGGAGGUACCCAGUCGGGGGUGCCAGGUGAUCCGUUACAUUGGUGGCAAGCGGUGGGAUGGCGUCCUAGUGCGAGGUAAAGCAGCUCAGAGACACAGUUCGUUUGGAUUUACAAAUUGAAGGCGACACUAGUGUUUAUACAGCGUCCCUGUCUACAUAAAGAUUUGGGAAAA